GAGGAUGAUGAUAGAUAAUAAUUAUGAGAGGGACACCUCCACGAUCAAAUGAUUUAAUUGAUUGGUUCUGUAAAUGCAAUCCAUGGAAGCACAAAACGACACCAAAAAUGCCUCGUCUUGCUCACUGAAAAUUUGAAAUUGAUUUGCUGGAAAUUUGCGUGCCCACCUUUUGUAUUGGUCGGUCUACUUUGUCCUUCGACGUUGAGAUCUGGUGCCACAAACCAACCUUCUCUGAGAUUGGAUGAGUAUUCCCUUCUGGAAACAGCGGUCAAAGAUAGAAAGAAUAGACAAGGCAGCCGUGUGUGGUGUGCUUCGCCAGCCAUUGAUGCAGCGGGUUGCCGGCGUUCGAUGACAGCGAAAUGCACUAAGCAAGGCGAGGCACGGCAGCUGGUGUUCGACGACAGCAACGCGUGCUCAGCUCAGGCGAGGCAUCCAGCGUUCGAUGACAGCUAUUGCGAAGAGGACGGCGUUCAACGGUUAGGGAUUUGGGAUUGUUUUUCAGUUCAGUCGCUUGUGAGUGGUGGGGAGCAGGGGAGGCGUGAAUAAUUUAGGGUUACUCGAUUUGUUGUUUUUUUUUUCAAUUUUAAUUUAUAUAUUUUUUAAUACAAAUUUAUUAAUUUAAUAAUAUAAUUAAAAAUUAACCUGGAUCUAAAUAUUCAAUUUUCUGAAUACACUUGUAUUUGAAUCCAUACGGAUCAUGAUUCUUAAACUCCGGAUCCGUAUUUUUUAAUGUGCGGAUUCAGAUUUUUUCAAAUCCGAAUCUUCUAGAUUUUUGCAGAUCCGGGCCGGACCUAGAUUCUUU
rnacentral:lncRNA from 1 species